rnacentral:sRNA from 1 species
CUCUAGCCCUGAUGGGAGUGGCAUCCUGUGGCGCUGGGGUUCAGCGCGACAGAUAUAACGGACAGCAGGAGCAUUG